AAAUUUUUCUGUGCUCAUGACUACUUUUCAUGUCAAUCAUGAGAAAUUUUGAGAAUAUUCCACUGUAUAAGUAAAAAGCCACUCAUCCAUAUCUAGGAUCUUGAUAAGGCAGUAAGAGUCCCAGUGUUUUACUAUCUGACUUAUAAUUCAUACCUACUCCAAACUGGGAAUUUCCCUCUAACUACAAGCAAGCCUUUGCACUCAGAAGAUGACUGUGGGCAUGCCCUCCACUUCUUCAAUGCAGCGGUUCUCUACCCUCACCCAGAGGAUAUUUGACAAUAUCUGAGGACAUUCAUUAUUUUCAUGGAAGGGGAGGGUGUGCAACAAGCAUCCAAUAGAUAGAAGCAAGGAAUGCUGCUAAAUAUUCUACUGCAAAGGACAGCACCCACUACAAAGAAUCAUCCAGCCCCAAAUUUCCAGGUUGAGAAACCCUACUUCAAUGUAACACACAGUGCCAAGAUGACCCACUGCUUGUGCAGGUGGUGAAUCGCCACUCCAGAUGUUUAAAUAAAUCCACAUCUCCAUCUGGGGACACAAAUGAACCUGCAAUGCAUAAGAAAAGUUUCAACAAGAAAAAGAUGUCAAAGACUGAACUCAGAAGAGGAAGCCUCAGCACCUGACAUUUCUCAGAUUAUCUCAGAGAGAAUCCUUCCUUCAACAUGAUUCAAAGGAUCCAUGAACUGUGGUGACCACUGAGCAGUCUACGGAACCUAGCUGAGUCACAUUUGUCAACUACAAAAUGGAAAUGACAGUUACUAGAUAGAUUCACAACCCUAGGCUAAGCCACUGUCAUCUCUCCUGACAAGUACUGCAAUGGCAUCUGUGAUUGACAGUCUCACCAGAUAAUAUCCAACAAGGGAAAAGACAAUUUCACAAAAGGAAAUCAAAGUACUGUAGCCAAAAGAGGUGGAAUUGGUAAGUGUCUGAA
rnacentral:lncRNA from 10 species